AUGCCAUGGUGAGGGCAUCUCCUUAACAGCUCUUUCAACCUUUCCCAAGUGUCAGGAACAACUUCAUCGUCUAUUUGUUUAAAAGGGCAAAUUUCAUUCCUGGACUU